UUUAACACUCCUCCUUGAUUUUUUUGCUGAAGACUCCAAAUUAAGUUGUCUUGGAGCAAUAUCUCUCCAAUUUUCUGCUUUGAUUGAUUGUCUUUGGAGCACAUCUCUAUAAUUCUUUCUUCAUGGAGCACUUCUCUCCAACAUUCUUCAUUCACUUUUGGUGUACAUGUCAUCAUUGCUUUGAUUUUCUGGUGCACUUAUCACCAUUUUUCUGCUUCUUUCGAGUGCACUUGCUCGCCAUUGUUCUCUUUGUCUUGGUGCACUUUCUCACAAGAAAUAUUUGUCUCUUCAAAACAUAAAUUUUUCUUCUUGAAAUAAUCCUCCUCCUGUAGGCUAUCAUGGGCUUGCUUAAUUGUGUAGUUGCUGUCAUCCCAUCCUUGUCAAGAUCAAACUCUAACCACGUCCUUUAAGAUCAAAAAAGCACUGAUGCCAUUUGUUGGAUUUGAAGGGAGAAAAAACUAAGAACGUAUUUAUACUUGAACGAGGAGGAGAGAAAAGACAAACUCAUUACUAAAAAUAGAGGAUUUACAAACACAAAUUUAAAGUUUUUUUCUUUCUUUUCUUCCUCA
rnacentral:misc_RNA from 1 species